rnacentral:rRNA from 1 species
GACAGAGGGUGCAACCGUUGUUCGGAAUUACUGGGCGUAAAGCGCGUGUAGGCGGCUAAGUAAGUCGGGCGUGAAAUCCCACGGCUCAACCGUGGAAGUGCACUCGAAACUGCGUAGCUAGAGUCCUGGAGAGGAAGGUGGAGUGCUUGGUGUAGAGGUGAAAUUCGUAGAUAUCAAGCGGAACACCGGUGGCGAAGGCGGCCUUCUGGACAGUGACUGACGCUGAGACGCGAAAGCGUGGGGAGCAAACAGG